CUUUACUGUAGCCUGGAAUUGGGUUCGGGCUUUGCUUGCGCAGGAUAGGUGGGAGGCGUUGAACUUCUCCUUGUGGGGAGAAGGGAGCCAACGGUGAGAUACCACUCUGGCGAAGCUAGAAUUCUAACCAUUAGCCGUAAGCCGGCAGUGGAACAGUUUCAGGUGGGCAGUUUGACUGGGGCGGUCGCCUCCUAAAUGGUAACGGAGGCGCGCAAAGGUUCCCUCAGGCUGGUUGGAAAUCAGCCGCAGAGUGUAAAGGCACAAGGGAGCUUGACUGCAAGAGACACAGCUCGAGCAGGUAGGAAACUAGGCCUUAGUGAUCCGACGGCAGUGAGUGGAAGCGCCGUCGCUCAACGGAUAAAAGUUA
rnacentral:rRNA from 1 species